rnacentral:rRNA from 1 species
UACAGAGGUCCCAAGCGUUGUUCGGAUUCAUUGGGCGUAAAGGGUGCGUAGGCGGCGCGGUAAGUCGGGUGUGAAAUCUCGGGGCUUAACUCCGAAACUGCAUUCGAUACUGCCGUGCUCGAGGACUGGAGAGGAGACUGGAAUUCAUGGUGUAGCAGUGAAAUGCGUAGAGAUCAUGAGGAAGACCAGUGGCGAAGGCGGGUCUCUGGACAGUUCCUGACACUGAGGCACGAAGGCCAGGGGAGCAAACGGG